rnacentral:rRNA from 1 species
UACCAGCACCCCGAGUGGUCGGGACGAUUAUUGGGCCUAAAGCAUCCGUAGCCGGUUCUACAAGUCUUCCGUUAAAUCCACCUGCUUAACAGUUGGGCUGCGGGGGAUACUACAGCGCUAGGAGGCGGGAGAGGCAAGCGGUACUCAAUGGGUAGGGGUAAAAUCCGCUGAUCCAUUGAAGACCACCAGUGGCGAAGGCGGCUUGCCAGAACGCGCUCGACGGUGAGGGAUGAAAGCUGGGGGAGCAAACCGG